AUUACUCUUUUGAAAAUUUCAGUUUGUUGUUUAUUAAAGUUUAAAUAAAUCAGUAAAUCAAUACUUCUUCUUUCAGGUGGGCGAUCGUCCCUUCACAGACAUUGUUUAUGGAAACAGAAACGGGUUUCUUACUAUAUCAACUGCACCACUGAGUCUCGCAGAAGAACCAUUCACUGUUAUUAAGCAGGGUUUCAAGGGGUUUCAUCAGUUCACAGUUUUCACAAGUGGCAGAGACGCAUUCACGGUGGUUUCACGGCGGAGUAGAGGCGUUCAUGGUGGUUUUCACGGCGGCGUUCACGUAUUUCACGGUGGUGGCAGUCGGCACAGUGUUUACGGUGGCAUAUAGCGUCUUCUGAUUCAUCAGGAACAUUCAUACACAAGCUGCUACCAUUGCUGCUAGAAUUCCGUACCCCCCCUAACGAUGAAACCAAUUCUUAUUCCAAUGAUGAUAAUGAUACUAAUGAAGAUACAUAUGAUGAUUCUGAAUACCCUUCACAUACAAAUGUACAUGAACAGCCCCUUAGACGUUUAUCGAGACGUCAUAAUGCACCCAACCAUCAAAAAUUUGAUUAAGUUCGUCGUCAAAAUAUUGAUCAUUUUGUUUUAUUAUUCGUUUUACAUUUAAUCUAAACUGUUUACAUUCAAGUUGCUCACCUACGUUGAACUGUUGUUUACACUUAAUUUGAAACGUCUACAUUCAUUUUGAUUAUGUUGAA